UGUAGACGACGAGCAUGGAGGCGGGCACCGCAGGCUGACUGCCGGUGACAAACCGGAGGAAGGUGGGGAUGACGUCAAAUCAUCAUGCCCCUUAUGAUCUGGGCUACACACGUGCUACAAUGGACAAUACAAAGGGCAGCUAAACCGCGAGGUCCAUCAAAUCCCAUAAAGUUGUUCUCAGUUCGGAUUGUAGUCUGCAACUCGACUACAUGAAGGUGGAAUCGCUAGUAAUCGUAGAUCAGCAUGCUACGGUGAAUACGUUCCCGGGUCUUGUACACACCGCCCGUCACACCACGAGAGUUUGUAACACCCGAAGCCGGUGGAGUAACCAUUUAUGGAGCUACGUGUCGAAGGCGGGACAAAGGAUGCGAGCUG
rnacentral:rRNA from 1 species